CUACAUUAUGUUUCCUUCUAGAUCUGGAGUUUUCUCACUUGAAAAAGAGGUCUUCGUUUAGAAACAUCUAGUGUAAUCUGUGAUAGUGAAGAACUUCUGAGUACAAAGUAUUUUAGAGAAAAUUGAUACAACUUUAAAAGCUACUCAGUGAUAAAACAGCUCUUUGCAACACACUGGAAAGAAAGUAGAGAUGACAGAGAAAGAAAUUGCUCUUAAGGAGCUUACAUUCCAGUAAUGCAUGCACAGAAUGAAAUAAGUUCCAUAACAGAAGUAUGCACAAUGGAUGUGUCUUGAGAAUACAGAAUAGGAAGUUGGCUAUCAUCAAAUGGAGGGCAUUGAAGGCUGAGAAAAUAAUCAUUUUAUAUGUGAGUGUGUUUGUCUUAAAGUUGAUGAUGAAACCUGAAACAGAAGUGAAGUUGCCUAAGACUGACCAUUCCAAGAGGCAAUUAAUGAGAUACUGUUCUCAGACCCAGUGAUGAUGCUUCUAGAGAACCAUUUGGAGAGUUUUUCACGUGUUCCAUGCAAGGACUGGCAUCUGAUUCACAACUACAAAAUUUAAAGGUGAGAGUCAGGGGCCUGAGCUCUGUUGACUAGGAACACAGUGAGGGAAAAUGGCUCUGUCGGAAUCCACCACAACUUCUAGCAUCUGGUGUGACAAAGGAUGUUUGAAUUUCCCAUGAACCCAUGAGGCCCCCGAGGUAGGAAUGUAUUGGGUUGUUAUGAGUGGAACUCCACGCAAGAAGAGUAAAUCCAAUGGAGGGGUGGGCCACAAAAACCAGUGGCUAAAGGGGAAGUUGUAAGAGGAGGCAUAGUGUACGUCAGAUGAACUGUAGGUGAGAGAUCCCCAAUGAUGGAAGUUGUCUCUGAAAAAGCCACAAAACCACUCCAAGAAAGAAAGAAUUGACAUUUAGAACAUCCCUCACAGAGAGAAUACCUAUACCAGAGUAUAACUGUACUGUGAAAUAAUACUAUAUUUACUUUUACUUCUUUUCAAUCUCCUCACUCCAAUCCCUGAAAGGUCCCAAAGCAUCAGCUAGGGAGUCAAGGAGAAGGUAGAAUAAGAGCUGAAGAUGAUUCUAACCAUCCCCAUCUUUCAUUAUAGGCUUCCAAGACUGAAGUAGGCUAGAGAUCAGAGAAGAGAGAAGUUUUAAAUUUGAUGAGAAUAGGAUUUUGAUUAUUAUACUGACUAGAUUUUUUAAUACCUGGAAAAAGAGAUUAUUAAAUUUCAUUGAGUCUAAGAUGCUAUUGAUUAUAAGAUGUUCCAUUAUUUUAUAUAACACUUGGGGAAAAAAAUCCCUUCCAAUUAUGACUACAAGAUGACUUUGAGAUUCAGAGAUGAGAUAUUAAAAUGGAAAAAUAUGUUCAUCUUAGACUAGACAAAAUAGAGUAAUAUUUUAUUAUCUGAGGGUGAUUGGAAAAGCUGUGAGAUCUGAUUGAGAUUUCAUUGAAGGGAGGGUACGUGAACUAAUAAUAGAGCAUUUAAAGGGGGGCAGUGGUGAUAAAAAGUCAAAUUCCUGCCUUUACCCUACAGUGUCCAACUGGUACAAUAAACUGGUUAAACAAUGUAAUUUCUCAGUCUAAUUUCAAGCAAACACACACAUACCCACACACAUGAGCUAAACCUGCCUUUGACAAAAGCCUGAAGAGAAAAGGGGAUCCAGGCACUCAAAGGCUCAUUUUAAAGGUUUACCUUCUCCAACUAACAUACGUCUAAUCCUUCCCAGAAAGAGCAGAACACUCCUUGAGUGCUAAAAUAGAUGCCAGAUUUCAGUUGGAAUUAAAAAUUGGGAUAUGUGGAAAUAAUGAAAUACUUUGGAUGUUUUCAUAAUUUUGAGAAUUAACAGGAAAGACUUAGAUCUCAUGCUCUCAGUAACACAUUUGAUAACAUGGGGAGAUUAAUAGUAUAACUGAAAUAUCAUUUGGCCUCCCUGCCUCUCAGAUGUCUAGAUAAACUACACUGAAUCCUCCCAGUUCUAUGGACCGUGAAAGUCUAAAGAACUCCCAUUUGCUUUUGUGAAUUCCUGGAGAAUUACGUCUCACAGUCCCCUAAGCCUCUGACUCUCGUGUGUAUCAAUCUGGAUUUGAAACUAGACUCCUCUGGGGGUUUUAAAAUAUGUCCAAAAAUUCUUUGACAUUCCUCUCUUCAAGAGAUGGCACUUAACUCCUCUUCCAUUGAGUGUGGGAUGGACUAACUGACUUAAAUGAAAUGAAUAAUGUAUGUAUGACAUUGUGUGGCUUCUGACACCAGGAUGUAAAGCACAUGGCUUCCUUCUUGCCUUCUCUCUUGGAUUGCUUGCUCUGGAGGAAGCUAGCUUCCAUGUCAUGAGGACACUCAAGCAGCCCUCUGGAGAGAGAGGUUCAUGUGGUGAGAAACAGGAGUCCAGCCUACAGCCAUGUAAUUAAGCCCUCUUGGAAGUGGAGGUUGGUAUCUUUGGCAAUGUACUGAGGCCAAGGGACAUUUUAGAAGGAGAGGCCAGAGUUUGUAUUUAUACUGUUGGGGAGGAAGAAAUUUUCCACUACCGUUCUAGGUUCUUCUGGCUGGUCUAAGAAUUAAAUUGACAUGAGACAGAUUAACAGGAGAAAAUCACACAAAAGUUUAAAAACAUGUAUACAUGGGAGAGACCCAGAAAAAUUAAAUAACUUGCUAAAAAGGUUGAAACCCUCACCUUAACUAUCAUUUUCAGCUAAAGACAAAAGAAGAUGUUGGGGGUAGGAGUUUAGGACUUCACAGGGGAGGAAGGCCAUUGACGGGAGACGGAAAAGCAAAUGUUUGGUAAACAAAUGUUUGCUGGGCCAUGAAGAGACAAUGGGACACAGGAAUUUUAACAAACAGACUUUGCUAGGUUCAUCCCUGUUUACAAACCUAGUUCAUACUAUAAUUAUCUACUGUGACAGCUCCCUUCCUGGAACAAGGCUACUAUCUACUACCUCCAGGCAGUUUGAAGCGGGAAGGCCAAAGUUUCUUCCUGAAUCUUUUGGGCCUUGAUUGUUUUCAGUUUGAAAUAAUCUACAUACCAGAGAGACAUUUUGGGGUGUCAAGUUUUGCUCGCCUACAAUAUUUCUGUCAGCAGUAAUUAUAGCAAGGCUCAGAAUCAACUGGCCUCAACAAUACUUAAUAUCUUACUAAAGUAAGUAAAGUAGUAUUUUAAAAAAGUAAAAUAAAGGUAAAGUAUGAAUGAGGUAUAAUACUUAAUACUGUUACUAAGCAUGGGGCUCUCUGCCCAAUGCACAUAGAAACCAAUACUAUGUCACUGACUUCUGAGAAAAGAAAACGCUUUAGUGAGAAGGCGACCGGCAAGAAGACAGGAGGCAAGGCUCUCAGCCUGUUUCCCUGAUCUGGGGUUCAGUCAAAUUUUUAUGAGUUAAGGUAGAAUGGGUUGGUAUGUGGAAGCACUGGUUGGUAUGGGGCAGGGUUCAAUCGGAGGGCUUCAGGACUUGGCCGUGUAUGGUAAGAUAUGGUAAAGAGGCUUCAGCACGGGAUCUUCCUGGACAAAAAACCCUUCACUUCUGAAAGGAUUCUGGCAUUCGGGUUCUAGUCAUGUUCUGGUCUUGGUUCCAUGGUGGGGGAGAAACUUUAGUUCCUGGUGUUAUUUAAAGGUAAAAUUUUCUCCUCUGUGCAUUUGUUGGCUGCAUGAUUUAGUUUUGCUCUGUUGUCUCUGAAAAACAACUUAGUUCUGGUUAGGAACAGGACAGGGUCAGUUCAGGCUGGUUUUUCGGUUACAAUACCUUAAUAAAGGCUUGUCAUUCAUGAGUAACUGGGUCUCCUUGUCCCUGGAUUUUCACCAUUCUAAACCAUUAUCUUUAGCUAGUGAGAUCUUCCUGUAUCAAUUAUCUGACUAUGCUCUCCCCCAGUUAAAAAUGCAUUCAUGCCCGACUAAUUCCCAUUGCCUUCAGAACAAAAUCUCAAUUCCUUUACUUGGUUUAUAAGAACUCUUAAGUACUGUUGUGAUGUGAGAUUGU